rnacentral:rRNA from 1 species
UACGUAGGGUGCGAGCGUUAAUCGGAAUUACUGGGCGUAAAGCGUGCGUAGGCGGUUCGCUGUGUCCGAUGUGAAAGCCCCGGGCUUAACCUGGGAAUGGCAUUGGAAACUGGCGGGCUUGAGUGCGGCAGAGGGGGGUGGAAUUCCGCGUGUAGCAGUGAAAUGCGUAGAGAUCAUGAGGAAGACCAGUGGCGAAGGCGGGUCUCUGGACAGUUCCUGACACUGAGACACGAAGGCCAGGGGAGCAAACGGG